rnacentral:lncRNA from 10 species
AUACAGCCAAUCUUUCCUGAACAUUAAAAUGUUGUACUCAUAUCACCGUGUUUCCUCACUACCUAAAGGAAAGAUCUGAAACCAACUGAAAUUAUUGACUGAAUUGAAUUACCUUGGAAAUAAACACCAUUUAAACAUUUUCAUUCUCACCCACUUCUUCAAGUAACAAAAUAAAUAAUGUGCUAUUUCUGCUCAGAACUUCCAAAAAUUAGUCUUUUAUUUUUUUCCUAGGUGCCUUAAAGGUCUUGUAGCUCUCCCCAUCAUCAAGCAAAACCAACCAAAAUUUAAAUGGCUGAUGUCCUUUAUCAAUUUUUGGAUGCCUGACAAAGGGGCUUAAGAAUUUUAGAUAAAUAAAACAAAUGAUGAAUUGCUGGAAAUGCAUAGGAAACAAAAU